GAUGAACGCUGGCGGCGUGCCUAAUACAUGCAAGUCGAGCGAACAGAUGAGGAGCUUGCUCCUCUGACGUUAGCGGCGGACGGGUGAGUAACACGUGGAUAACCUACCUAUAAGACUGGGAUAACUUCGGGAAACCGGAGCUAAUACCGGAUAAUAUAUUGAACCGCAUGGUUCAAUAGUGAAAGACGGCUUUGGUGUCACUUAUAGAUGGAUCCGCGCCGCAUUAGCUAGUUGGUAGGGUAACGGCUUACCAAGGCUACGAUGCGUAGCCGACCUGAGAGGGUGAUCGGCCACACUGGAACGGAGACACGGUCCAGACUCCUACGGGAGGCAGCAGUAGGGAAUCUUCCGCAAUGGGCGAAAGCUUGACGGAGCAACGCCGCGUGAGUGAUGAAGGUCUUCGGAUCGUAAAACUCUGUUAUUAGGGAAGAACAGAUGUGUAAGUAGCUAUGCACGUCUUGACGGUACCUAAUCAGAAAGCCACGGCUAACUACGUG
rnacentral:rRNA from 1 species